rnacentral:rRNA from 1 species
GUUUGAUCCUGGCUCAGGAUGAACGCUGGCGGCGUGCUUAACACAUGCAAGUCGAACGAACCUUCGGGUUAGUGGCGGACGGGUGAGUAACGCGUGGGAAUCUGCCCUCAGGAGGGGGAUAACGGCUGGAAACGGCCGCUAAUACCCCAUAUGCCGAGAGGUGAAAUGAAUUUCGCCUGAGGAUGAGCCCGCGUCUGAUUAGCUAGUUGGUGGGGUAAGAGCCUACCAAGGCAUCGAUCAGUAGCUGGUCUGAGAGGAUGAUCAGCCACACUGGGACUGAGACACGGCCCAGACUCCUACGGGAGGCAGCAGUGGGGAAUUUUCCGCAAUGGGCGAAAGCCUGACGGAGCAACGCCGCGUGAGGGAUGAAGGCCUCUGGGCUGUAAACCUCUUUUCUCAAGGAAGAAGACCUGACGGUACUUGAGGAAUAAGCCACGGCUAAUUCCGUGCCAGCAGCCGCGGUAAUACGGGAGUGGCAAGCGUUAUCCGGGAUUAUUGGGCGUAAAGCGUCCGCAGGCGGCUCUGUAAGUCUGUCGUCAAAGCGUGGAGCUCAACUCCAUUUCGGCGGUGGAAACUACAGGGCUUGAGUGUGGUAGGGGCAGAGGGAAUUCCCGGUGUAGCGGUGAAAUGCGUAGAUAUCGGGAAGAACACCAGUGGCGAAGGCGCUCUGCUGGGCCAUAACUGACGCUCAUGGACGAAAGCCAGGGGAGCGAAAGGGAUUAGAUACCCCUGUAGUCCUGGCCGUAAACGAUGAACACUAGGUGUCGGGGGAAUCGACCCCCUCGGUGUCGUAGCCAACGCGUUAAGUGUUCCGCCUGGGGAGUACGCACGCAAGUGUGAAACUCAAAGGAAUUGACGGGGGCCCGCACAAGCGGUGGAGUAUGUGGUUUAAUUCGAUGCAACGCGAAGAACCUUACCAGGGUUUGACAUCCUGCGAAUCCCCUGGAAACGGGGGAGUGCCUUCGGGAGCGCAGAGACAGGUGGUGCAUGGCUGUCGUCAGCUCGUGUCGUGAGAUGUUGGGUUAAGUCCCGCAACGAGCGCAACCCACGUCUUUAGUUGCCAGCAUACAGUUGGGCACUCUAGAGAGACCGCCGGUGAUAAACCGGAGGAAGGUGUGGAUGACGUCAAGUCAUCAUGCCCCUUACAUCCUGGGCUACACACGUACUACAAUGCUACGGACAAAGGGCAGCAAGCUCGCGAGAGUUAGCAGGUCCCAUAAACCGUGGCUCAGUUCAGAUCGUAGGCUGCAACUCGCCUACGUGAAGGAGGAAUCGCUAGUAAUCGCAGGUCAGCAUACUGCGGUGAAUACGUUCCCGGGCCCUGUACACACCGCCCGUCACACCAUGGAAGUUGGCCAUGCCCGAAGUCGUUACUCCAACCCUU